rnacentral:rRNA from 1 species
CUAGCCAUGCCGCGUGAGUGAUGAAGGCCUUAGGGUCGUAAAGCUCUUUCGCUGGGGAAGAUAAUGACGGUACCCAGUAAAGAAACCCCGGCUAACUCCGUGCCAGCAGCCGCGGUAAUACGGAGGGGGUUAGCGUUGUUCGGAAUUACUGGGCGUAAAGCGCGCGUAGGCGGAUCAGAAAGUUGGGGGUGAAAUCCCGGGGCUCAACCUCGGAACUGCCUCCAAAACUCCUGGUCUUGAGUUCGAGAGAGGUGAGUGGAACUCCGAGUGUAGAGGUGAAAUUCGUAGAUAUUCGGAAGAACACCAGUGGCGAAGGCGGCUCACUGGCUCGAUACUGACGCUGAGGUGCGAAAGUGUGGGGAGCAAACAGGAUUAGAUACCCUGGUAGUCCACACCGUAAACGAUGAAUGCCAGUCGUCGGGUAGCAUGCUAUUCGGUGACACACCUAACGGAU